rnacentral:rRNA from 1 species
CAGUCGCCGCGGUAAUACGUAGGUGGCAAGCGUUGUCCGGAAUUAUUGGGCGUAAAGGGCUCGCAGGCGGUUUCUUAAGUCUGAUGUGAAAGCCCCCGGCUCAACCGGGGAGGGUCAUUGGAAACUGGGAAACUUGAGUGCAGAAGAGGAGAGUGGAAUUCCACGUGUAGCGGUGAAAUGCGUAGAGAUGUGGAGGAACACCAGUGGCGGAGGCGACUCUCUGGUCUGUAACUGACGCUGAGGAGCGAAAGCGUGGGGAGCGAACAGGAUUAGAUACCCGCGUAGUCCCUGUCUCUUAUAC